CUAUUAUAAACAUUGUUGAGCAAUUUUGUAUCAGGCAGUCUUAUAAGCAAUUAAUAUAUAUUAAGUCAUUAAACCCUCCAAACAACACUAUAAGGCAAGUAUGUUAUUACUCACUCUACAGAUGAGAAAACUGAAGAACAGAGAGGAUUGGUGACUUGUCCAAGGUCACUUUAUAAGCAGAAAACCUGGCAUUUGAAAUGGGGUGGACACCAGAGCCAGCACUCCUGAUUACCAUAUAGGCACAUAAACAUCACAGUUCACGGUUAAAUUUUUAAGACUUCCUGAGGCACUGAGGAUUUUGGAUAGUUGCCAUCAAUUGACCUGAGAGCUUCUACAACUUAAAGGAGCUGCACUUAAAAAGGAAAAAGAAAAAGGAAGAUUGGUUUUAAUAAUAUAUUUUAUUCAACCCAAGAUAUCCAAAAUAGUAUAAUUUUAAUGUGUAAUCAAUG